AUAAUAGAACAUUCAACUGCGAAGUGAACUAAGGAUAGAACCUGAAGACUGCAGAACCAUAGAGACCUAGAACGUCAGAGAGGCCAUCUAAGGACUGGCACUGCAGUCAGCGGUGAACUGACUUCAUCCCAAUCCCUCAGCCCCCACCAGGACCAGUCUGGAGUCCCUCCCCUGCCCCCAUUGAAAUUUCCCUUCCGUCCCCAAACUUACCUCUGAUCUAGACCUUACUCACCUCCUUCCUGUUUCCUAAGACUCCUUCCUGCCGUCCACAGACCGAGCCUUUUAUCUUUGUCCACCCUGUGCCAGACACCUCCUUUUCCAGAACCUUCUCCUUACUGGUGACCUUACUUAUCUCUGUUGCUUUCUGGGGUCCUAGGAAAUGCCAGCACUCCCACCCACAUUGCCUGAACUUUCCAACACUCCCUAACUGCGCUGUGUCCUAUCUCAACACUUUCUCAUGUAUUUCUUGUGUCUUCUAGAACAUUCCCCCGCCAUUAUUACUUCAAUAUGGCUACACAUACUUCCUAAUUGCCCUGCAAACCAUCUCCUUCUCACCAUUGCC
rnacentral:lncRNA from 1 species